rnacentral:rRNA from 1 species
CCUACGGGAGGCAGCAGUGAGGAAUAUUGGUCAAUGGGCGCGAGCCUGAACCAGCCAAGUAGCGUGAAGGAUGACUGCCCUAUGGGUUGUAAACUUCUUUUAUAUGGGAAUAAAAUGUUCCACGUGUGGGAUUUUGUAUGUACCAUAUGAAUAAGGAUCGGCUAACUCCGUGCCAGCAGCCGCGGUAAUACGGAGGCUCCGAGCGUUAUCCGGAGUUAUUGGGGUUAAUGGGAGCGUAGGUGGAUUGUUAAGUCAGUUGUGAAAGUUUGCGGCUCAACCGUAAAAUUGCAGUUGAAACUGGCAGUCUUGAGUACAGUAGAGGUGGGCGAAAUGCGUGGUGUAGCGGUGAAAUGCGUAGAGAUCACGAAGAACACCGAUUGCGAAGGCAGUUCACUGGACUGCAACUGACACUGAGGCUCGAAAGUGUGGGUAUCAAACAGGAUUAGAUACCCUUGUAGUC